AGAGUUUGAUCCUGGCUCAGGACGAACGCUGGCGGCGUGCCUAAUACAUGCAAGUCGAGCGGUCCCUUCGGGGAUAGCGGCGGACGGGUGAGUAACACGUAGGCAACCUGCCUGUAAGACUGGGAUAACUACCGGAAACGGUAGCUAAGACCGGAUAAUUGGUUUCUUCGCAUGGAGAGAUCAUGAAACACGGAGCAAUC
rnacentral:rRNA from 1 species